AAAUGAAUAGACGGGGGCCCGCACAAGCGGUGGAGCAUGUGGUUUAAUUCGAAGCAACGCGAAGAACCUUACCAGGUCUUGACAUCCUUUGACCAUUCUGGAGACAGAACUUUCCCUUCGGGGACAAAGUGACAGGUGGUGCAUGGUUGUCGUCAGCUCGUGUCGUGAGAUGUUGGGUUAAGUCCCGCAACGAGCGCAACCCUUGAUUUUAGUUGCCAGCAUUUAGUUGGGCACUCUAAAGUGACUGCCGGUGUAAGCCGGAGGAAGGUGGGGAUGACGUCAAAUCAUCAUGCCCCUUAUGACCUGGGCUACACACGUGCUACAAUGGAUAAUACAAAGGGUCGCGAAGCCGCGAGGUGGAGCCAAUCCCAUAAAAUUAUUCUCAGUUCGGAUUGCAGGCUGCAACUCGCCUGCAUGAAGCCGGAAUCGCUAGUAAUCGUAGAUCAGCAUGCUACGGUGAAUACGUUCCCGGGCCUUGUACACACCGCCCGU
rnacentral:rRNA from 1 species